CAAACGGCUCUUUUCAGAGCCACACACUUAUUAUCAUUGAACAAA
rfam:Gasterosteus aculeatus cont1.007338, whole genome shotgun sequence.